rnacentral:rRNA from 1 species
AAGUGAAAUCCUAUGGCUUAACCAUAGAACUGCUUCCAAAACUGAAUACCUAGAGUAUGGGAGAGGUAGAUGGAAUUUCUGGUGUAGGGGUAAAAUCCGUAGAGAUCAGAAGGAAUACCGAUUGCGAAGGCGAUCUACUGGAACAUUACUGACGCUAAGAUGCGAAAGCGUGGGGAGCAAACAGGAUUAGAUACCCUGGUAGUCCACGCCCUAAACGAUGUACACUAGUUGUUGCUAUGCUAGACAUAGCAGUAAUGCAGUUAACACAUUAAGUGUACCGCCUGGGGAGUACGGUCGCAAGAUUAAAACUCAAAGGAAUAGACGGGGACCCGCACAAGCGGUGGAGCAUGUGGUUUAAUUCGACGAUACGCGAAGAACCUUACCUGGCCUUGACAUAGAUAGAAUAUAGCAGAGAUGUAAUAGUGCCAGUUUACUGGAGCUAUCAUACAGGUGCUGCACGGCUGUCGUCAGCUCGUGUCGUGAGAUGUUGGGUUAAGUCCCGCAACGAGCGCAACCCACGUGUCUAGUUACUAACAGUUCGGCUGAGGACUCUAGACAGACUGCCUUCGUAAGGAGGAGGAAGGUGUGGACGACGUCAAGUCAUCAUGGCCCUUACGGCCAGGGCUACACACGUGCUACAAUGGGGUAUACAGAGAGCCGCAAUACCGCGAGGUGGAGCAAAUCUUUAAAAUAUCUCCCAGUUCGGAUAGCACUCUGCAACUCGAGUGCUUGAAGUUGGAAUCGCUAGUAAUCGUGAAUCAGCAAUGUCACGGUGAAUACGUUCCCGGGUCUUGUACUCACCGCCCGUCACACCACGGGAGUUGAAUUCAUUCGAAGCGGGGAUGCUAAAAUAGCUACCUUCCACAGUGG